UGAGGAAUAUUGCGCAAUGGGGGCAACCCUGACGCAGCAACGCCGCGUGGGUGAUGAAGGCCUUCGGGUCGUAAAACCCUUUUCUGGGGGACGAGCAAGGACGGUACCCCAGGAAUAAGUCCCGGCUAACUACGUGCCAGCAGCCGCGGUAAAACGUAGGGGGCGAGCGUUAUCCGGAUUUACUGGGCGUAAAGCGCGUGCAGGCGGCUUGGUAGGUUGGACGUGAAAGCUCCUGGCUCAACUGGGAGAGGCCGUUCAAUACCGCCAGGCUCGAGGACGGAAGAGGGAAGCGGAAUUCCCGGUGUAGUGGUGGAAUGCGUAGAUAUCGGGAGGAACACCUGUGGCGAAGGCGGCUUCCUGGUCCGAACCUGACGCUAAGACGCGAAAGCGUGGGGAGCGAACGGG
rnacentral:rRNA from 1 species